AAAGGGUGCGUAGGCGGCCUGUUAAGUCAGGGGUGAAAGACGGUAGCUCAACUAUCGCAGUGCCCUUGAUACUGAUGGGCUUGAAUUGACUAGAGGUAGGCGGAAUGUGACAAGUAGCGGUGAAAUGCAUAGAUAUGUCACAGAACACCGAUUGCGAAGGCAGCUUACUAUGGUCUUAUUGACGCUGAGGCACGAAAGCGUGGGGAUCAAACAGGAUUAGAUACCCCUGU
rnacentral:rRNA from 1 species